AGAGCCUCGGGUGCUUCGCAUCGCAGGAGGGAAAGGACCCGCUGCGGCUUUCGGCGUGGGUUUAACAUGUCCCGACGGCGUGAGGGUCUCACCAUCGGGGUGGUAGAUGGAAGUGCUUGCGAAUAUUUGUGCAGCUUACGGAGAGACAUCCAGGGGAACUGAACUGUUGCUGGAAGGAACCUCUGACUCCAGUUUGCCUCAUCGGUUUGGGAAGCGGCGUCUCCCGUGUAACUUCUUCAGAGUUCACAGACCUCCCCCCAUGUCCCAUGAACGUGGAGAGCUUGUUCCCCUCCAUGCUGGCAUGAGGACUGCUGGUAUUGCAGAGCCUCUUGGCAAAGGUUCUCUGCUGCUCAAGGGGGAUUGGAAAGCUGGAACACCACCUUGGAGUAAAGAGACAGGUGUCACUGGAAAAAAAUAAAUGAAGCUUUUUGUUCUCAGUGCCUGUGUUCAUCUGAAUGGAAAAUCCAGGCGAGGACCUCCAGAGCCCACGGUUCACAAUGACAGCUCUCCUGGUUUCUAAUUUUGGAACAAAGUACUCCUCACCACUGCUUUUCCUAAACACCCCCGGUACAUUUUCAGAGCAUGAUUUCAUAGGAUCUAACAGAAGGAGGGACUGUGAAGACGCACAUGCAGAAUCUCAGAAGGAG